UGGAUUAAUGCAAUAAGAGUCCAUCUAAAUUUCAAUAUUGCAUAAUAAUAUAACAAAAAAACAUAACUAUUGUAGCAAAACCUCGGUUGAUGCCUGGUUGCCAUAGCAACCAUGUUUUUUGUUUUAUUUAUUUAACAGUAAAAUAUAGGCCAGGCUACAGAUUGUAACACCUUACAUUUUUUUAAAUUAAUUAAAAUAAAUAGAUAAAUAAAUAAACGCAGUACUUACCAUGAAAAGUCAAUUGUGUUGCUGGUCUUAAAACGGUUACUUUGUUGUCACAAAAAAAAUCCGUUACUUUGUUGCUUGCGCGUGCUCGAGGACACACGUCAAACACGCUGUGAAUUCCGGAGAACAGUGCAACUGCGCCGUCUAUUGGUGAAUCGGACAAAAUGUGGGCAUUAAUUGAAUGGACCGAAAUGGAAGCCUCUCUGGACAUUGUUAAAAGAGAAGAAAUUCUUCAAUCUGUAGUUCAUGAAGGGGAUAUUGUUGAUGUUAAGUAUGAAGAUGAGAGCUCUCCUGCAGUUAUUCUCAAAAUGAAUGAAAACAAGGACAAGCUACUGAAACGACUGAAUCAGAUGGAGUCAGAGAAAAGGCAGAAAGAAGUGGGCAAGCUGCCUGAAAAAAGAACAAUAAAAAGAAAAAGAAUAUUUAGUCCAGAAAACACCCCAUCAUCAAGUCCGGAUCAAGUCCAGAAGAGAUUUAAAAAAGUAAAAUCUAACUUCUUGAUAAAUUAUAUUACUGUAACAUCUUUUACUGUUAUUUUUUGUGUAUCAUGUGUUUUUGCUGUUCUGUGACUUUAAUUUUGUCUCUCAACUUAGGUGGAAAAAACACAAAAUGACACACUAUUGCUUAAGAAAAUAGAAGAAAAAAACAAAGAAAAUGAAAAAAAAAUAAAUGAUUUGAGAAAAGAAAUCAAAGCUUUGAAAAUAGAGAAUCAGCAACUAAAGGCUCUGAACUUUAAAUUGCAAAAUGGUAAGCUAUUUAUCCAUGGUUAUAUAGCUUUUGCUAUGCAUGAAUGAGUUUAUUUAAACAUUGUUCUUCUUUAUGUAGAGAUUAUUAACAAAUUUGGAGAGUUGCUGCCUAUCAGUGUAAACAAGCAUGCUGUGCCAACCUCUGUAACAAGUGCAGCUUGCAGUGCUGCCCUUCAACCAGCCACCUCUUCACAUCUCAGUUCUUCUGAACUUGACCAUGUGAGAAUACUAUUUUUAGAUUUUCUUUUCACACCACUUAAAUAAGUCAAUUCAGUUUGUGUGUGUGUAUGUGUGUCUACUUAACCAUAUUUUGGGGACAUUUUUUUACCCAGAAGUGAUCAAAACCAGACAAAAUCUUCAAAAACCUCACUUUAGGGAUGUCCUCAUUUGUAAAACUGGUUUAAAAUAAAGUAAUUAAAGUUUUUUUUUUUUUUUCAAAUG